rnacentral:tRNA from 1 species
GGGAUGGCUUAGUCUGUUAAAGUGCUCGCCUUAUAAGCAUGAAGCCCUGAGUUCAAUCCUCAGAACCCA